rnacentral:lncRNA from 1 species
GGCAGAUAGAUUUUGACCUGAUAAACAAUUCAACCCAAUGUCAGAUUUGCUCUAAAUGCUUUGGUUUUUGAGUUAUAAGCCAAAAACUGCAUUUUACCCCUAUGUUUUAUUUUUAGCUAUGGCAGCCAUCUUGGUUGGAUGGCCAGGUCACCGGACACAUUUUUUAAACUAGAUACCCCAAAGAUGAUUGUGGCCAAGUUUGGAAUAAUUUGGCCCAGUAGUUUCAGAGGAGAAGAUUUUUGUAAAAGAUUACUAAGAUUUACGAAAAAUGGUUAAAAAUUGACUAUAAAGGGCAAUAACUCCUAAAGGGGUCAACUGACCAUUUCGGUCAAGUUCACUUAUUUGUAAAUCUUACUUUGCUGAACAUUAUUGCUGUUUACAGUUUAUCUCUAUCUAUAAUAAUAUUCAAGAUAAUAACCAAAAACAGUAAAAUUUCCUUAAAAUUACCAAUUUAGGGGCAGCAACCCAACAACGGGUUGUCGGAUUCAUCUGAAAAUUUGAGGGCAGACAGAUCUUGACCUGAUAAACAA